CAGGACGAACGCUGGCGGCGUGCUUAACACAUGCAAGUCGAGCGAUGAAGCUCUUCGGAAGUGGAUUAGCGGCGGACGGGUGAGUAACACGUGGGUAACCUGCCUCAUAGAGGGGAAUAGCUUCCGAAAGGAAGAUUAAUACCGCAUAAGAUUGUAAUAUCGCAUGAUAUAGCAAUUAAAGGAGUAAUCCGCUAUGAGAUGGACCCGCGUCGCAUUAGCUAGUUGGUGAAGUAACGGCUCACCAAGGCGACGAUGCGUAGCCGACCUGAGAGGGUGAUCGGCCACAUUGGGACUGAGACACGGCCCAGACUCCUACGGGAGGCAGCAGCGGGGAAUAUUGCACAAUGGGGGAAACCCUGAUGCAGCAACGCCGCGUGAGUGAUGACGGUCUUCGGAUUGUAAAGCUCUGUCUUUAGGGACGAUAAUGACGGUACCUAAGGAGGAAGCCACGGCUAACUACGUGCCAGCCGCGGC
rnacentral:rRNA from 1 species